ensembl:lncRNA
CUGGUGCCGCCUUCAGCAAGCGUACAAUCUAGCAGGCAUCCUACAGCGAACUGGCCACUACAUAACUCUGCACCCUCUUCCAGAGGCCCCUACUGUAGCCGCUCUCAAGCCUCAGCAUCAAACUAUGUCCUUAACAAAAUCAUUGUUUUCUCCGCACCAGGGGAGAGAACCGCUAAGUGCUCUGACCUCCUUGCUUCCAGCACGUUAAUACGAAUUGGGAUUUUGUGGCUUCACACGCAUUGGCUCACGAUCCUCCCAGCGGGGAGGGAAGACGCCACGACCUGCAUUUUACAGACAGGAGGCUCAGGAACUUGCUGGAGGCCACAGAGCAGGUUCGUGCCGAGGUGGUGGGAAGCGACUCUCAGGCUGGGAGAGACCCUGUCCAGCCAGUUGUUUUCCCCGGGGCUGCUGCUUCCGGACUGCCUUCCUAGACGACACGGCAGGCUGGGGCGGCCCUGCCUCCCUAGGGCCGCGCUGAGUGCCCAGUGCACCCCUUCACUCCGCACUCUGCCCCAGCGGACCCCCCGGGUGUGUCAUGUUCACGGGCAGGUGCGCUGGCUGAGUCACGGAAGAGUGGGCAGCUCCUCCAGGAACUCUGCAUUUGUGAUGGAGUUGAGUCCUGGCACAGAGAUCAAGAGGCUGGAAAAGCAGAUUGGAAAAGGGAGUUCGGAAGCUCAGUCCAUGGCCCUAUCUGCUCCAGAUCAGACAUGUUGGGAGCUCUUCUGAAUUUUAAUCUUCACUCUUAUUCAAAACCACGGACUCCUAACGCCUGGAAAAGCCAGUGGAGAGCGCUUCCCUUUGAGUAAAUUCGAGGGAAGCAUGUGUUGGAGAAUGCCCAUGGCUGUCUUGUAAAAUGAAGCCCUAGGCACCAGCUCUGUAUUUCCUACUGAAUGCGACCUACCCAUCUAGUUCCAUUGUCCAAGGCACCAGUUUUCUCUUUGCUUCAAUAUGUACAUCAGUGUACUAUCUUCAUCUUUUGCAUAAUUUUCUGUGCCAUUUAGCCCUGUAUGCUUUAUCUGUUUCCCCCUUUUUUUUUUUUUUUUGAGACAGGGUCUCACUGCAACCCAGGCUGGAGUGCAGUGGCACGAUGAUGGCUCACUGUAGCCUUGAACUCCUGGGUUCAAGCAAUCCUCCCACCUUACCCUCCCCAGUAGCUGGGACUACAGGUAUGUGCCACUGUGCCUACAGGUAUGUGCCACUGUGCCUGGAAUUUUUUUUUUUUGAUGCAGGGUCUCACUGUUACCCAGGCUGGAGGAAUACAGUGGCAUGAUCAUGGCUCACUGCAGCCUUGACCUCCCACUUUAGUAGCUGGGACUACAGGCAGGCACCACCAUGCCCAGCUAAUUUUUUUUGUGUUUUUUUUUUUGUAGAGACAGGGUCUCACUGUGUUGCCCAGGCUGGUCUCGAACUCCUGGACUUAUGCAGUCCGUCUACUUCGACCUCCCACAGGGCUGGGAGUACAGGCAUAAGCCACUGCAUUCAGCCUUUUUUUUUUUUUUUUUGUAGAAACAGGGUCUCACUGUGUUGCUCAGGCUGGUUCAAACUCCUGGUCUCAAGUGAUCCCCCUGCCUCAGCCCCCCAAAAUGUUGGGAUUGCAGGUGUAAACCACUGCCCCUGGCCUGUUCACUUUAGAUUCGGGAUUCCCAAGUUCCCCCUGCCAUAUGCCCCUACCAAAUGAAAUCUCCCUAGUCACUCUUCUCAUUCAAAAUCCAUGGUGGCAAGAUGAGGAAGAUUAUUGUACACUCCCUGAGACAUAGAAGGAAAUGGGCACCUGUUAUUUCAGCUGACUAGAUUCCUUACCCCGAAAUCUGCUGAAAUUCCUUACCCAGAAAUCCACCUGAAAGAGGUCUGGAGUCGGCAUGAAUUACUAGCUGUGUGAGGCGAAGGAUACUGCUUCACCACUCGAGUGUUAGCUUUCCCAUCUGAAACACGUCGAUGAUAUUGGCUACAUUGCAGAAGCACUGAGAGGAUUACAUGUAAUGUAUGUAAAGCAGCUGGUACACAGUCGUACUCGAUAAAUGGUAGCUAUAAUUAUUACUCACCUCCUUCAUCAUAACCUUCAAGCACGAAAAGCACUGUGGAUGUCUUGAGGGUCCAGCCGAGCAGGACAAGGCAUUCCUUUCAUGUUUUCUUUCCUAACUGCAUUGCCCUCCUCACUCAAUCUUUUAAAAAUAAGUAAAAUAAGACUGACCUAAUUCUUCCCACAUUUAUCCAAACGAAAAAUCUAGAACUCAGCUUUUCUGCUGUCUAGAUUCUGUUUUCUGCCAUCAAUCCGCAAGGACCCACCACCCAACAUUUUAAAAAAAAUUUACAAUUAUAAAUUGUUUUUUUUUUUGUUUUUUUUUUUUUUGUUUUUUUGAGACUGGUCUGUCCCAGCUGAGUCAGUGGAUCUCACUCACUCGCUCCGGUUUAGCAUU